UACAGAGGCCUCGAGCGUUAAUCGGAAUCACUGGGCUUAAAGGGUGCGUAGGCGGGACCGCAAGUGCCUUGUGAAAUCCCACGGCUUAACCGUGGAACUGCUUGGUAGACUUCGGUCCUUGAGGUCGGUAGGGGUUGCUGGAACUCUAGGUGGAGCGGUGAAAUGCGUAGAUAUCUAGAGGAACGCCAAUGGUGAAGACAGGCAACUGGGCCGAUUCUGACGCUGAGGCACGAAAGCGUGGGGAGCGAACGGG
rnacentral:rRNA from 1 species